AUGAACGCUAGCGGCAGGCUUAACACAUGCAAGUCGAGGGGUAUUGGUUUUCGGACCAAGAGACCGGCGCACGGGUGCGUAACGCGUAUGCAAUCUACCUUUCACAGAGGGAUAGCCCAGAGAAAUUUGGAUUAAUACCUCAUAGUAUGCAGAGUUGGCAUCAACACUGCAUUAAAGUCACAACGGUGAAAGAUGAGCAUGCGUCCCAUUAGCUAGUUGGUAAGGUAACGGCUUACCAAGGCUACGAUGGGUAGGGGUCCUGAGAGGGAGAUCCCCUACACUGGUACUGAGACACGGACCAGACUCCUACGGGAGGCAGCAGUGAGGAAUAUUGGACAAUGGGCGCAAGCCUGAUCCAGCCAUGCCGCGUGCAGGAUGACGGUCCUAUGGAUUGUAAACUGCUUUUGCACAGGAAGAAACAACUCUACGUGUAGAGUCUUGACGGUACUGUGAGAAUAAGGAUCGGCUAACUCCGU
rnacentral:rRNA from 1 species